ensembl:lncRNA MIR17HG miR-17-92a-1 cluster host gene
UCUUUAAGAAAUUUAAGGAACUUAGCCUUGGAUUCCUGAAUAGAAAGAUCUUCAUUUUACAGGCAGACCUGUCUAACUACAAGCCAGACUUGGGUUUUCUCCUGUAGUUUGAAGACACACUGACUCCUGACAAAAUGCAGCCUGCAACUUCCUGGAGAACAACUCAGUGUCACAUUAAAGUUUAUUAUGUAUUUAAUGAUACACUGUUUAAUUGACAGUUUUGCAUAGUUUGUCUAACUUUAGAGAAUUAAGAGCCUCUCAACUGAGCAGUAAAGGUAAGGAGAGCUCAAUCUGCACAGAGCCAGUUUUUAGUGUUUGAUGGAAAUAAGAUCAUCAUGCCCACUUGAGACUUCAGAUUAUUCUUUAGCUUAGUGGUUGUAUGAGUUACAUCUUAUUAAAGUCGAAAUUAAUGUAGUUUUCUGCCUUGAUAACAUUUCAUAUGUGGUAUUAGUUUUAAAGGGUCAUUAGGAAAAUGCACAUAUUCCAUGAAUUUUAAGACCCAUAGAAAAGUUGAAGAAUGCUUAAUUUUCUUAUCCAGUAAUGUAAACACAGAGACAGAACAUUGAGAUGUGCCUAGUUCUGUAUUUACAGUUUGGUCUGGCUGUUUGAGUUCUAGCGCAUUUAAUGUUAAUAAAUAAAAUACUGCAUUUUAAAGCUGUUAAGAAAUUGUCCAGAACGAGAAUAUUGAAAUAAAAACUUCAAGGUUA